rnacentral:misc_RNA from 1 species
GAAAUGCGAUAAGUAGUGUGAAUUGCAGAAUUCAGUGAAUCAUCGAAUCUUUGAACGCACAUUGCGCCCUUUGGUAUUCCUUAGGGCAUGCCUGUUCGAGCGUCAUCUAAACCUUCAAGCCCUGCUUGGUGUUGGGUGCCUGUCCCGCCUCCGCGCGCGGACUCACCUCAAAUCCAUUGGCGGCCCCCGCGUCGGCCACGAGCGCAGCAGAAACGCGAACUCGUGAGCCCGUCCGGGCGGCUCCCAGAAGAUACACCCACCCAGUUUGACCUCGGAUCAGGUAGGGAUACCCGCUGAACUUAAGC